rnacentral:misc_RNA from 1 species
AUGAAUACUGCUUGAUGGGUUGUAGCUGACUCUCUGGAGUAUGUGCACGCCUGUCUUGGAUUCUAUUCAUCCACCUGUGCACUAUGUGUAGUCUCUGUGAAGGACCAAGAACAGUCGGUUGAAAAAUCGGAUGGAAGAGUGCACGUCAGCUCUCUUUGAAUUGGUUGUCUAGAGUCUAUGUUUUUACAAUAACGCAUGUUGUAGAAUGUAUUUACUGGGCCAUUGUGCCUAUAAAAUCUUAUA